rnacentral:rRNA from 1 species
GCUCCUUGAUUCAGCGGCGGACGGGUGAGUAAUGCCUAGGAAUCUGCCUGGUAGUGGGGGACAACGUUUCGAAAGGAACGCUAAUACCGCAUACGUCCUACGGGAGAAAGCAGGGGACCUUCGGGCCUUGCGCUAUCAGAUGAGCCUAGGUCGGAUUAGCUUGUUGGUGAGGUAAUGGCUCACCAAGGCGACGAUCCGUAACUGGUCUGAGAGGAUGAUCAGUCACACUGGAACUGAGACACGGUCCAGACUCCUACGGGAGGCAGCAGUGGGGAAUAUUGGACAAUGGGCGAAAGCCUGAUCCAGCCAUGCCGCGUGUGUGAAGAAGGUCUUCGGAUUGUAAAGCACUUUAAGUUGGGAGGAAGGGUUGUAGAUUAAUACUCUGCAAUUUUGACGUUACCGACAGAAUAAGCACCGGCUAACUCUGUGCCAGCAGCCGCGGUAAUACAGAGGGUGCAAGCGUUAAUCGGAAUUACUGGGCGUAAAGCGCGCGUAGGUGGUUUGUUAAGUUGGAUGUGAAAGCCCCGGGCUCAACCUGGGAACUGCAUCCAAAACUGGCAAGCUAGAGUACGG